CCUACGGGCGGCAGCAGUGAGGAAUAUUGGUCAAUGGCCGGAAGGCUGAACCAGCCAAGCCGCGUGAGGGACGACGGUGCAAAGCAUUGUAAACCUCUUUUGUCGGGGGACAAAAGACGGCACGCGUGCCGUCCCGAGGGUACCCGAAGAAAAAGCAUCGGCUAACUCCGUGCCAGCAGCCGCGGUAAUACGGAGGAUGCGAGCGUUAUCCGGAUUUAUUGGGUUUAAAGGGUGCGCAGGCGGACGUUUAAGUCAGCGGUAAAAUCGAGGGGCUCAACCCCGGCGAGCCGUUGAAACUGGGUGUCUUGAGUGCGCGGGAGGUAUGCGGAAUGCGUGGUGUAGCGGUGAAAUGCAUAGAUAUCGCGCAGAACUCCGAUUGCGAAGGCAGCAUGCCGGCGCUCAACUGACGCUGAGGCACGAAAGCGUGGGUAUCGAACAGGAUUAGAUACCCCAGUAGUC
rnacentral:rRNA from 1 species